rnacentral:tmRNA from 1 species
GGGGGCGUAUCGGUUUCGACGGGGACGUUGAAUGCCGGUAAGCGGGCAGCGGUACGGGACCGCUUCAACAAUCCGUAAACUGUUAUAAAUUAAAUAACAACGAUUACGCUUUAGCUGCUUAAUUAAAUAGCAGCCGUCCGCCCCGGGGGACCACGACCGGGUCACGGGCGUCAUUUAGUGGUGAACGCGCCGCGAUAAGCUUUGCUCGCGGAUGUGUAUCAUGAAGCUACUGAAGUCGGAAGGCUGUUUGUCGCCGUCCGGCGGAGGGAAUUUUAAAAGACAAACUGCGCCCGGAGAAAUCUGACAGGAGAUGUUUUCGGACACGGGUUCAAUUCCCGUCGCCUCCACCA